GGCCUUUUGAGUUUGAUUUAAGGUCAGGCCUGCCCAAUGAGCAUUUAAUGGCUGCAGUAUUUUGACUGUACAAAGGUAGCAUAAUCAUUAGUUUCUUAAUUAGAAGCUGGUAUGAAUGGUUAAAUGAGAAAAUAGCUGUCUUUAAUUGAAUUUUUAAAGAACUUUAUUUUUGAGUAAAAAAGCUUAAAUUUUUUUAAAAGACGAGAAGACCCUAUAGAGUUUAAUAGUUAGAUUUAUAAAAGUUUUAGGUAUUAAUAAUUUUUAUAUUAAUAAUUAUUUGAUUGGGGUGAUUAGAAAAUUUAAUUAACUUUUGUUUUAUUAAAACAUAAAUUUAUGAGUAAUUGAUCCACUUUUUGUGAUUAUAAGAUUAAAUUACCUUAGGGAUAACAGCGUAAUUUUUUUAGCGAGUUCUUAUCAAUAAAAAAGUUUGCGACCUCGAUGUUGGAUUAAAAUUAACUUUUGGUGCAGUAGCUGAAAAGUUAGGUCUGUUCGACCUUUAAAAUUUUACA
rnacentral:rRNA from 1 species